rnacentral:tRNA from 1 species
GCCCGAGUGGCGGAAUGGCAGACGCGGCGGUCUCAAAAACCGUUGGGAAACCGUGAGAGUUCGAAUCUCUCCUCGGGCACCA